ACUCAUAAUGCAAUUCUCCGUACAGGUGCGGCCACUGCAAACAGCUGGCUCCCAUCUACGACAAGCUGGCCGAACACUUCGAGAAGGACGAUGACGUCGUGAUCGCCAAGAUGGAUGCCACCGCCAACGAGCUGGAGCACACCAAGAUCACCUCCUUCCCCACCAUCAAGCUCUACACUAAGGACAACCAGGUGAAGGAUUACAACGGCGAGAGGACGCUGGCAGCUAUGACCAGCUUCGUUGAGAGCGAUGGUGAGGGCGCUGAACCUAAACCCAGUGUGAGCGAGGAUGAUGAAGAAGACGAGUUGCCAGCCAGAGACGAGUUAUAAGCGCUCGACGGCCAGUACACUCUCAUGAGACUUCCAUAGUAUAGUACUGUACUGUAUAGAUUAUAAUUAUUUACUUUUAUACUUAAACUAACACGUUUGCAUUUCAUUUGCUAGACUGUUGACUUGUUCUUUAAAUUGUGUUAAGGUUGUACUUGAACGAACUAAGUUAAUACGCACUGUCUGAUAUUUUGUAACGUAAUACUCCGUAUAUUCGUGAAUCAUGUAACGCCACACAUGUGGCCCGAUCUCGUGCAAGUACCCAGUAAAAGUUUAAUUUAUUUUCUAAAGGCAUAAUUUAUUUUGCAUAAACAGCAGCAUAACUUAGUUUAUGUAUAACUAAUGUAUUUAUAAUUUCUGUAUCAUAAUGGUAUAAUAUUUUGACAUUCCUUAGUACAAGUUAUAGUUACAUCGAACAAGUGUUUUGUUGAAGGAGCAUUGGCGUUAUUAUUUUUAUAUUUUACAUUACUUGUACAUUUUAUUCAUCACAACAAAAUAGAAUUACUUGUAACGGACAUAUUACCCGUUAAGUUGUAUUUUUUCUAGUGUUUUUUUUUAAUGAAAUUUGUGUCGUUGAAUAGUUCAAUCGUAUGUACUUGCAUUCUCGUAUGUAUUUAGCUACUUUCAUAAUGAUAAUUAGUGAGGAUUUUGAAAAUGUAAUUUUCUAAGUAUAUUUGGUAAUUCUGUCUAUAAAUGUAAAUAUUCGUAAUUGUAUUUGCCAAAUCUGCAUUUGUGUAUCUAUUGUGGAUACAGAAAUUGAUAAAUAAACAAAUUUAAAACUUA